CCUACGGGAGGCAGCAGUGAGGAAUAUUGGUCAAUGGGCGGAAGCCUGAACCAGCCAAGUAGCGUGCGGGAUGACUGCCCUACGGGUUGUAAACCGCUUUUGUACGGGGAUAACACCUUCCACUUGUGGCGGUCUGCAGGUACCGUGCGAAUAAGGGCCGGCUAACUCCGUGCCAGCAGCCGCGGUAAUACGGAGGAUCCGAGCGUUAUCCGGAUUUAUUGGGUUUAAAGGGUGCGUAGGCGGUCGUUUAAGUGAGCGGUAAAAUCGCGCGGCUCAACCUCGAGUCGCAAUUGAUACUGUAAGACUUGAGUUCAGAAGAGGCAGGCGGAAUACGUGAUGUAGCGGUGAAAUGCAUAGAUAUAACGUAGAACUCCGAUAGCGAAGGCAGCCUACCGGGGUGCGACUGACGCUGAAGCUCGAGGGUGUGGGUAUCGAACAGGAUUAGAUACCCGUGUAGUC
rnacentral:rRNA from 1 species